GUGCUCCUUUAUUCUCUGUCCCUAUAUUGCCAAAAUAAGUGGCUUAAUAUAUCCACUUCUACAACUUAUUUAACACUUAUCAAUUAAAGAACAGGUCAUGAAUGUAAGGAGUUGUCAUCAUCUGAAGUAACGAUAAGUGAUGUGCCCAGAUCCUUCGGUUUCCCUCAGAUAACUAAAAUAAGAUAUCUAUCAAAAGAAGGAUUGCAAGUAUUCAUUAUUCAUGCAGAACCUGCAUCACAUCCGAAAUAUGUCUCUGAAUUUUCUUCAUACAUGCCUUCCUGAAA
rnacentral:misc_RNA from 1 species